rnacentral:rRNA from 1 species
AUGGAAGAGUCAAAAUAUUUAGAAACUAUCGAUAAUAUCUUUCGUUUUGUUCAAGCAGGAUCAGAGGUAUCCGCUUUAUUAGGGAGAAUGCCCUCCGCAGUGGGUUAUCAACCUACUCUUAGUACAAAUGGGUUCUUUGCAAGAAAGAAUUGCUUCUACUAAAAAGGGAUCUAUAACUUCGAUUCAAGCAGUUUAUGUAAGCAUCUCUCCUGAACGACACCUUCUGCAGACUCUACUGGUGGUAUUUCCCGACCGCACGCGCCUUAG